GGGUUGUGAGGUUAAGCGACUAAGCGUACACGGUGGAUGCCCUGGCAGUCAGAGGCGAUGAAGGGCGUGCUAAUCUGCGAUAAGCGCCGGUAAGGUGAUAUGAACCGUUAUAACCGGCGAUACCCGAAUGGGGAAACCCAGUGUGAUUCGUCACACUAUCAUUAACUGAAUCCAUAGGUUAAUGAGGCGAACCGGGGGAACUGAAACAUCUAAGUACCCCGAGGAAAAGAAAUCAACCGAGAUUCCCCCAGUAGCGGCGAGCGAACGGGGAGGAGCCCAGAGCCUGAAUCAGCAUGUGUGUUAGUGGAAGCGUCUGGAAAGGCGCGCGAUACAGGGUGACAGCCCCGUACACAAAAGCGCAUGUGCUGUGAGCUCGAUGAGUAGGGCGGGACACGUGGUAUCCUGUCUGAAUAUGGGGGGACCAUCCUCCAAGGCUAAAUACUCCUGACUGACCGAUAGUGAACCAGUACCGUGAGGGAAAGGCGAAAAGAACCCCGGCGAGGGGAGUGAAAAAGAACCUGAAACCGUGUACGUACAAGCAGUGGGAGCACCCUUCGGGGUGUGACUG
rnacentral:rRNA from 1 species